GGAGAUUUAGCUCAGUGGUAGAGCGCUUGCCUAGCAAGCACAAGGCCCUGAGUUCAGUCCCCAGCUCCG
rnacentral:tRNA from 1 species